UACAGAGGGUGCAAGCGUUAAUCGGAAUUACUGGGCGUAAAGGGCGCGUAGGCGGUUUAGUAAGUGAGAUGUGAAAUCCCUGGGCUUAACCUAGGAACUGCAUCUUAUACUGUUGAGCUAGAGUAUUGUAGAGGGUAGUGGAAUUUCCGGUGUAGCGGUGAAAUGCGUAGAGAUCGGAAGGAACACCAGUGGCGAAGGCGGCUACCUGGACAAAUACUGACGCUGAGGCGCGAAAGCGUGGGGAGCAAACAGG
rnacentral:rRNA from 1 species